rnacentral:tRNA from 1 species
GGGGUUGUGGCUCAGUGGUAGAGCACUUGCCUAGCAUAUAUGAGGCACUGGGUUCGAUUCUCAGCACCACA